AGUGGGAUAGCUGGUUUAAAUGGUGGUUCCAUUCCAGGUUUUCUAAGGAAUCUCCAUAUUGCUUUCCAGAGUUGUUGCACCAAUUUGCAGUCCCACCAGCAAU
rnacentral:pre_miRNA from 1 species